UCAAUUUCUCUUCCACUCCAUCUUUGCCGCUGACAGAGGCAAACGACUGAAGGAGGCAAAAGGCUGACAGAGGCAAACGGCUGAAAUCUAACAUUUGAAAAGGAAAAGCAUAAAAAAAUUCAGUUUUUUUAUUUACUCUCAUCUCAAGAAGAAGAAGAUUGAAACAGAGAUUGGGGUAUUGCGGAGACGUAGUGGUUUCGAGUGCCGAUUCGAAGUCGAGGUUCGUGGUUCCUGCUCUAGUAUGGUCGCUGUUUCAACCUUUUCCGUUCAGAGAGUGUUCGGUGAAACCAAUUCUUCCUAACACAUUGAAAAGCUAUUGAGUUACAGGAAGCUAGUCGUCCAUUGUAUGAAGGUUCAAUGCAUUCUAAGUUGUCUGUUGCGGUUAGAUUAUCAAGUAUUAAAUCGGAUUCGAGUAUUUCUCAAGCGGGCAUGGAAUUUAUCAU